rnacentral:tRNA from 1 species
GAGCUCAGUGGGUUGGAGCGUGGUGCUAAUAACGGCAAGGUUGAAGGUUCUGAUCCCUGUACA